AGGACGAACGCUGGCGGCGUGCUUAACACAUGCAAGUCGAACGGAGUUACGUAUGAAGUAUUUCGGUACGGACUACAUAACUUAGUGGCGAACGGGUGAGUAACACGUGGGCAACCUGCCCUUAACCGGGGGAUAACAUUGUGAAAACAGUGCUAAUACCGCAUAACAGAGUAUCGGGCAUCCGAUAUUUUAAAAGGAGCAAUCCGGUUUAGGAUGGGCCCGCGUCCAAUUAGCUAGUUGGUGAGGUAACGGCUCACCAAGGCUACGAUUGGUAGCCGAACUGAGAGGUUGAUCGGCCACAUUGGGACUGAGACACGGCCCAGACUCCUACGGGAGGCAGCAGUGGGGAAUAUUGGGCAAUGGGCGAAAGCCUGACCCAGCGACGCCGCGUGAAGGAUGAAGGUCUUCGGAUUGUAAACUUCUUUGAUCAGGGAAGAAAGAAAUGACGGUACCUGAAGAACAAGCCACGGCUAACUACGUG
rnacentral:rRNA from 1 species